AGCAUAAUUUCGUAGUUCGUGGCGGGUAUCUGUACGUGAACCUGCAGAUGGAUCAUCGUCGAAACCAAACACAUGGUUCCUUUGA
rnacentral:rRNA from 1 species